UUACCAUCUUACCUGGGAUAAGGCCCAAAGAGUUGGGUUCUACUCCAGGCAGCAGGAAGCAAAGACAAGGAGAUUACAGAAUUGACAGGGGAAGGAAAAAUAUCCUCACAUUGCCAUUUAAAAGAUAUGAAAGAGCAACACUCACAGCAAUACUUGAUUCCCACGUUAUUACCUGUAGCUUAAACACUGGUAACUGCAGUCAGAAAUUGGAAAGGAGUCUAAACCUACUGCAAAUACUUCUUCUUUGCUCAUCCCUCUGUAAACUUUCAUCUCUAAUCAGCAACCAACCAACCAACCCUGAAUCACAAUUUAAUUAAACUGGAAAUAAAGGCAACCUGUUCCUGCCUAGCAAAUUAGACAGUACAGCAAGCACCCAUCUCAGGGAGAGAGCUGUGAGGGAUGAGAGAAAGCUACAACACUGAAAAUUGUAUUUAAAAAGUGAAGAAAGAAAGGAAAUUUAGAUGCUACUUUCCUGAAACUGGAUUUCCAGUCAAAGGACUCUCCACUUCUAGGAAAGAAAUUCUGCUGGAUGUCAGGCAAACUCUUCUGUACUGGAUUAUUUCCAGCCAAGGGAGCCAGUUCCCUUUCCAGCAGUGUAGCUGGACAGUAGAAUUCAGGCUCAACUGUUUUUUCACAUAGCAUUGAUUAAUUUGUGAAAUUGUUUCCUCAAAUUGUUUCCUCACCUUGUUCUCAGAACACUUACUGGCAAAUAUAAACUAACAGGUUGGUUGCUGGAAUUCCAGGCUGUGUUUCUUGGUAAUACAUCCAGUCACUAUCAUCUAAAAAUAAGUAACAAGCUACAGUCCUUGAAUUCUUAACAUUUCAGGUAACAAAUGUCUUCAACUGGAACUGCACACUAUUCCUCUUGGAGGUGAAUUAAAAUAAACCAUAAAUCGAUAUUUUCUUUCCUUUAUCCCUGAAAUAGCUUUGUGUUAUCUGUACUCAUAAGGUACCAGGCUUCCCAAGGCUGAAUAUACACAAAUCCAAACCGAAUACAUUUACUUACUUCUUGAGGAUAUGCAUAUAGGAAGGGCAGGAUUAUCUAGCUUGCAAUGAAUGAAUGUGCAAUUGCAAAUUCAAAAAUACAAGUAUUGGUUCUGGCAAAACAGAAGUUUAUGCCUCAAAUGGCCGGUGUGCUCUUGGGGGGCACAUAAAACUGUCUGGAAUAUAUGGCUAAAAUUGUGCUAAUGAUCCCUCUGGCUCACUGGGAUAUUAACAGCUUUGGAUUAACUGCUCUGGACUGUCAAGAGUUCAAAGUAAGUCCUUUUGAAAUAAAAUAGGAUCAUUGGAAAUGAAAUUUGGAGACAGAUCAAUACUCAAAGAUAACUAAGUGUAAAGUCAGACAUAAAGUCUUCAAGUUUAUCCUUGUGGGUACAAAUUGUUGGUGUGAAAGGGAGUGGAGAUAGAGUGUCAUGAUGGACUCUGGAGGGAGCAACUGCUGAACCAACCAAAACAUGGCCUUCAAAAAUUGGAAGCAAAAGAAAAUGAUGAGGAAAAUCUCCUUUGCUCCAACAAGGUCUGACUUGCAGUGCACUGUGUCUCUAAACAAUGCUGAGGCCAGGAUUUCAUUUACUGCUGUGGAAAAACAAGGGCACCUGUUCCUCUAGCAAAUCAGUUUUUGAUAGGAGGAUGAUAACUACUUACCUGUGCAGCCUGACAUUAGAUGUCACAGAAAGAACACAAAGAAUUGAGGGUUUUAUAUUCUUUUCAGAAAUGUAAUUGAUGUAAGUGAUGUAUUUCUACUUCCCUGAGCCAUGCCAUGAAAACCUGGCAGGAGGCCCUUUCCUGCCCUCUCCAGAGAUCAGUGCUGUGGCUGACAGCUCAGUGCCCUCUCCACAGCUCAGUGCUUUGACUCUCCCUGGCCCUGCAGACAGAGGAGCAGAAGGUGGCAGAGCUUACAGCAGGCUGAAGAGUUCCCUGUAGUUCUCAUCACCUUUUCCUUCGGACACCAGGCUGUCCAGCUUAUCGAUCAACUCGGCCUCCACCUGGAGGAAAAGGGAUCAAAUCAAUCACUCAGACACACUUUCAAUGAACCUCAGCUGCCAAAUUGCAAAAGAAGUAAAGAUGAGAAGGAAAAGCAAUUCACCCAGUGGCACACAAAUGGAGUUGGUGCUCUUGCUGCUGAAAUCAUUAAAGGGAGACCUGACUUCAUCCCUGAAUCAGACUGCAUUGUUAUCCAGCCUCGCUGAAAAUCAACCUUGUUAAAACAUGAGCUACUGAAGAAAAUAAAAAAGGUUUGAAAAUUAA